GAGUUUGAUCGUGGCUCAGAUUGAACGCUGGCGGCAUGCCUUACACAUGCAAGUCGAACGGCAGCACGGGAGCUUGCUCCUGGUGGCGAGUGGCGAACGGGUGAGUAAUGCAUCGGAACGUAUCCUGGAGUGGGGGAUAACGUAGCGAAAGUUACGCUAAUACCGCAUAUUCUGUGAGCAGGAAAGCGGGGGACCUUCGGGCCUCGCGCUCCUGGAGCGGCCGAUGUCGGAUUAGCUAGUUGGUGAGGUAAAGGCUCACCAAGGCGACGAUCCGUAGCAGGUCUGAGAGGAUGAUCUGCCACACUGGAACUGAGACACGGUCCAGACUCCUACGGGAGGCAGCAGUGGGAAUUUGGACAAUGGGGGCAACCCUGAUCCAGCCAUGCCGCGUGAGUGAAGAAGGACCUCGGUUG
rnacentral:rRNA from 1 species